rnacentral:rRNA from 1 species
AUUGAACGCUGGCGGCAGGCCUAACACAUGCAAGUCGAGCGGAUGAAGGGAGCUUGCUCCUGGAUUCAGCGGCGGACGGGUGAGUAAUGCCUAGGAAUCUGCCUGGUAGUGGGGGAUAACGUCCGGAAACGGGCGCUAAUACCGCAUACGUCCUGAGGGAGAAAGUGGGGGAUCUUCGGACCUCACGCUAUCAGAUGAGCCUAGGUCGGAUUAGCUAGUUGGUGGGGUAAAGGCCUACCAAGGCGACGAUCCGUAACCGGUCUGAGAGGAUGAUCAGUCACACUGGAACUGAGACACGGUCCAGACUCCUACGGGAGGCAGCAGUGGGGAAUAUUGGACAAUGGGCGAAAGCCUGAUCCAGCCAUGCCGCGUGUGUGAAGAAGGUCUUCGGAUUGUAAAGCACUUUAAGUUGGGAAGAAGGGCAGUAAGUUAAUACCUUGCUGUUUUGACGUUACCAACAGAAUAAGCACCGGCUAACUUCGUG